GACGAACGCUGGCGGCGUGCUUAACACAUGCAAGUCGAACGGAAAGGCCCUGCUUUUGUGGGGUGCUCGAGGGGCGAACGGGGGAGUAACACGUGAGUUACCUGCCCUUGACUUUGGGAUAACUUCAGGAAAGUGGGGCUAAUACCGGAUAGGAGUUCCUGCUGCUGGGUGGGGGCUGGAAAGUUUCGGCGGUUGGGGGUGGACUCGCGGCUUAUCAGCUUGUUGGAUGGGUAGUGGAUUACCAAGGCCUUGACGGGUAGCAGGCCUGGUAGGGUGACCGGCCACAUUGGGCCUGAGAUACGGCCCAGCCUCCUACGGGAGGCAGCAGUGGGGUAUAUUGCACAAUGGGCGGAAGCCUGAUGCAGCAACGCCGCGUGCGGGAUGACGGCCUUCGGGUUGUAAACCGCUUUCGCCUGUGACGAAGCGUGAGUGACGGUAAUGGGUAAAGAAGCACCGGCUAACUCCGUG
rnacentral:rRNA from 1 species